GCAGUCGAACGAACUUCCGUUAAUUGAUUAUGACGUACUUGUACUGAUUGAGAUUUUAACACGAAGUGAGUGGCGAACGGGUGAGUAACACGUGGGUAACCUGCCCAGAAGUAGGGGAUAACACCUGGAAACAGAUGCUAAUACCGUAUAACAGAGAAAACCGCAUGGUUUUCUUUUAAAAGAUGGCUCUGCUAUCACUUCUGGAUGGACCCGCGGCGUAUUAGCUAGUUGGUGAGGUAAAGGCUCACCAAGGCAGUGAUACGUAGCCGACCUGAGAGGGUAAUCGGCCACAUUGGGACUGAGACACGGCCCAGACUCCUACGGGAGGCAGCAGUAGGGAAUCUUCCACAAUGGACGCAAGUCUGAUGGAGCAACGCCGCGUGAGUGAAGAAGGGUUUCGGCUCGUAAAGCUCUGUUGUUAAAGAAGAACGUGGGUAAGAGUAACUGUUUACCCAGUGACGGUAUUUAACCAGAAAGCCACGGCUAACUACGUGCCAGCAGCCGCGGUAAUACGUAGGUGGCAAGCGUUAUCCGGAUUUAUUGGGCGUAAAGCGAGCGCAGGCGGUCUUUUAAGUCUAAUGUGAAAGCCUUCGGCUCAACCGAAGAAGUGCAUUGGAAACUGGGAGACUUGAGUGCAGAAGAGGACAGUGGAACUCCAUGUGUAGCGGUGAAAUGCGUAGAUAUAUGGAAGAACACCAGUGGCGAAGGCGGCUGUCUGGUCUGCAACUGACGCUGAGGCUCGAAAGCAUGGGUAGCGAACAGGAUUAGAUACCCUGGUAGUCCAUGCCGUAAACGAUGAUUACUAAGUGUUGGAGGGUUUCCGCCCUUCAGUGCUGCAGCUAACGCAUUAAGUAAUCCGCCUGGGGAGUACGACCGCAAGGUUGAAACUCAAAAGAAUUGACGGGGGCCCGCACAAGCGGUGGAGCAUGUGGUUUAAUUCGAAGCUACGCGAAGAACCUUACCAGGUCUUGACAUCUUCUGACAGUCUAAGAGAUUAGAGGUUCCCUUCGGGGACAGAAUGACAGGUGGUGCAUGGUUGUCGUCAGCUCGUGUCGUGAGAUGUUGGGUUAAGUCCCGCAACGAGCGCAACCCUUAUUACUAGUUGCCAGCAUUAAGUUGGGCACUCUAGUGAGACUGCCGGUGACAAACCGGAGGAAGGUGGGGACGACGUCAAAUCAUCAUGCCCCUUAUGACCUGGGCUACACACGUGCUACAAUGGAUGGUACAACGAGUCGCGAGACCGCGAGGUUAAGCUAAUCUCUUAAAACCAUUCUCAGUUCGGACUGUAGGCUGCAACUCGCCUACACGAAGUCGGAAUCGCUAGUAAUCGCGGAUCAGCAUGCCGCGGUGAAUACGUUCCCGGGCCUUGUACACACCGCCCGUCACACCAUGAGAGUUUGUAACACCCAAAGCCGGUGG
rnacentral:rRNA from 1 species